UACGUAGGGGGCAAGCGUUGUCCGGAAUUAUUGGGCGUAAAGCGCGCGCAGGCGGCUUUGUAAGUCUGGUGUUUAAUCUCGGGGCUCAACCCCGAUUCGCAUUGGAAACUGCAAGGCUUGAGUGCAGAAGAGGAAAGUGGAAUUCCACGUGUAGCGGUGAAAUGCGUAGAGAUCUGGAGGAACACCGGUGGCGAAGGCGACAUCCUGGACCAACACUGACGCUGAGGAGCGAAAGCCAGGGGAGCAAACGGG
rnacentral:rRNA from 1 species